UAGGCAUUGUAUAUUUUCUUUAAUAAUAGGUAUUACCAAAUGGUUAAUAUUGUUUCUAUUUUCCCGUUUUUCCAUGGUUUUUUACAUUUAUUGGAAAAACUCCUGGGGAAAAUCAAAAAAUUACCUCCUUAAAGUACCUCUUCAGUCAGAUAUUCUUUUAGAAAAAGUGCUAUCAUUAUAAUUCUAAGAAAAAUGAAUAGAAUUGGUAGAAAAAUUGCGCUGAGUAAAAAAAAAAAAAAGUAAACAUCUUUGUAAAACCAUAACGUUCUUCGCUCCACUCAGAAUCUAAAAUAUGCCUAAAAAACAC